UACGUAGGGGGCAAGCGUUGUCCGGAUUUAUUGGGCGUAAAGAGCGUGUAGGCGGCCUGACAGGUCUGCUGUGAAAACUCGAGGCUCAACCUCGAGAUGUCGGCGGAAACCGUCUGGCUAGAGUCCGGAAGAGGAGAGUGGAAUUCCUGGUGUAGCGGUGAAAUGCGCAGAUAUCAGGAAGAACACCUAUGGCGAAGGCAGCUCUCUGGGACGGUACUGACGCUGAGGAGCGAAAGCAUGGGGAGCGAACAGG
rnacentral:rRNA from 1 species